AUUGAACGCUGGCGGCAGGCCUAACACAUGCAAGUCGAGCGGAUGAAGGGAGCUUGCUCCUGGAUUCAGCGGCGGACGGGUGAGUAAUGCCUAGGAAUCUGCCUGGUAGUGGGGGAUAACGUCCGGAAACGGGCGCUAAUACUGCAUACGUCCUGAGGGAGAAAGUGGGGGAUCUUUGGACCUCACGCUAUCAGAUGAGCCUAGGUCGGAUUAGCUAGCUGGUGGGGUAAAGGCCUACCAAGGCGACGAUCCGGAACUGGUCUGAGAGGCUGAUCAGUCACACUGGAACUGAAACACGGUCCAGACUCCUACGGGAGGCAGCAGUGGGGAAUAUUGGACAAUGGGCGAAAGCCUGAUCCAGCCAUGCCGCGUGUGUGAAGAAGGUCUUCGGAUUGUAAAGCACUUUAAGUUGGGAGGAAGGGCAGUAAGUUAAUACCUUGCUGUUUUGACGUUACCAACAGAAUAAGCACCGGCUAACUUCGUG
rnacentral:rRNA from 1 species